GACGAACGCUGGCGGCGUGCCUAACACAUGCAAGUCGAACGGAGUCAAAAAGCUUGCUUUUUGACUUAGUGGCGGACGGGUGAGUAACGCGUGAGUAACCUGCCUCUGAGAGGGGAAUAACGUUCUGAAAAGAACGCUAAUACCGCAUAACGUAUCGAAGCCGCAUGACUUUGAUACCAAAGAUUUUAUCGCUCGGAGAUGGACUCGCGUCCGAUUAGUUAGUUGGUGAGGUAACGGCUCACCAAGACCGCGAUCGGUAGCCGGACUGAGAGGUUGAUCGGCCACAUUGGGACUGAGACACGGCCCAGACUCCUACGGGAGGCAGCAGUGAGGGAUAUUGCGCAAUGGGGGCAACCCUGACGCAGCAUCGCCGCGUGAAGGAUGAAGGUUUUCGGAUUGUAAACUUCUUUUAUCAGGGACGAAGCUUGACGGUACCUGAUGAAUAAGCUCCGGCUAACUACGUGCCAGCAGCCGCAGUAAGAC
rnacentral:rRNA from 1 species